rnacentral:tRNA from 1 species
CAUUAGAUAACUUAAAUGUAAGUUCAGGUCUCUUAAACCUUAUAAUAAUAAUUAACGAAUAUUUCUAAUG